UUGAAACACUGGUUCCUGUAUAAUCACCGAAGUUAAGCAAUGUUGAACCUAGUCAGUACCUAGAUAGGUGAUCACUUGGGAAUACCAGGUGUUGUAAG